UCAACGUCGCCACCGCCCGCCGCUCGCCGCCACCGCCUACUCGCUUCCCUCAGAGCACUCGCGGGCUGAGCGAAGGAGGCGGAGAGGAAGCUCCAGAGCAGGCCUCCCAUUGGCUGAUUUCAAACGCCAACGUCUCGGGCGAGGCAGCGCUGAGGGACCCGUGCUCCUGCUGAUCGAAUGAAAACUACAACUCCCAGGAAGCAUCGCGCCAAGACCUCGUUGACGCCCGUCUACGCCCGAGUGCAGCACGCUGGGAGAUGUAGUCUCCCUGGGGCCGGACCCUUUGCUGGUGCCCUGAAGAGUAGGCGGGAAAGAUGCUUUCUCAGGCUCUGCGCGCGGCACCCUCGCCUCUCUAGCUCUCAGGCACUAGAAUUCCGUUGUGGUCCAUACUCCUUUGAAGUUAAAUUAUUCUCUGCUCCCCUAGACGCAUAUACACCCAUAAAGUAGCCAAAACUGGUA